rnacentral:snoRNA from 1 species
GUAUGGUGAUGAAACCCAUGCGUGUCAACUGACUCCGGAAGCCUCCUGGUGUGUUGCAACUCUGGACGGCGUUUUGCUGUCCAGAGUUCGUGGCUUGCCAGGGAUCCUGAGAUGUGAUCACACUCACACUUCUGAAUAC